rnacentral:rRNA from 1 species
UACAGAGGGGGCAAGCGUUGUUCGGAAUUACUGGGCGUAAAGGGCGCGCAGGCGGCCUGGCAAGUCGAGUGUGAAAUCCCUUGGCUUAACUGAGGAAUGGCGCUCGAAACUACCUCGCUGGAGGGCGGGAGAGGGAAGUGGAACUCUCGGUGUAGGGGUGAAAUCUGUAGAUAUCGGGAGGAACACCAGUGGCGAAGGCGACUACCUGGCCUGUUCUUGACGCUGAGGCGCGAAAGCUAGGGGAGCAAACGGG